rnacentral:rRNA from 1 species
UACGUAGGGUGCAGGCGUUAAUCGGAAUUACUGGGCGUAAAGAGCGCGCAGGCGGUCGUUCAAGUCGCGUGUGAAAGCCCCCGGCUCAACUGGGGAGGGUCACGCGAUACUGAUCGACUCGAAGGCAGGAGAGGGAAGUGGAAUUCCCGGUGUAGUGGUGAAAUGCGUAGAUAUCGGGAGGAACACCAGUGGCGAAGGCGACUCCUGGCCUGUUCUUGACGCUGAGGCGCGAAAGCUAGGGGAGCAAACGGG